UUCCAGACUCCUCGGGAGGCAGCAGUGAGGAAUAUUGGUCAAUGGGCGCGAGCCUGAACCAGCCAAGUCGCGUGAGGGAAGACGGUCCUAUGGAUUGUAAACCUCUUUUGUCGGGGAGCAAAAGACGCCACGCGUGGCGUUCCGAGAGUACCCGAAGAAAAAGCAUCGGCUAACUCCGUGCCAGCAGCCGCGGUAAUACGGAGGAUGCGAGCGUUAUCCGGAUUUAUUGGGUUUAAAGGGUGCGUAGGCGGGACGUUAAGUCAGCGGUAAAAAGGCGGAGCUCAACUCCGUCGAGCCGUUGAAACUGCCGUUCUUGAGUGAGCGAGAAGUAUGCGGAAUGCGUGGUGUAGCGGUGAAAUGCAUAGAUAUCACGCAGAACUCCGAUUGCGAAGGCAGCAUACCGGCGCUCAACUGACGCUGAAGCACGAAGGCGUGGGUAUCGAACAGGAUUAGAUACCCGAGUA
rnacentral:rRNA from 1 species